rnacentral:rRNA from 1 species
UACGUAGGGUGCAAGCGUUAUCCGGAAUUACUGGGCGUAAAGGGCUCGUAGGCGGCCAACUAAGUCGGAUGUGAAAUCCCCAGGCUUAACCUGGGAACUGCAUCCGAUACUGGAUGGCUUGAAUUCAGGAGAGGGAUGCAGAAUUCCAGGUGUAGCGGUGAAAUGCGUAGAUAUCUGGAGGAAUACCGGUGGCGAAGGCGGCAUCCUGGACCGACAUUGACGCUGAGUGAGCGAAAGCUAGGGGAGCAAACGGG